CUCCCUCGUUGCUGACCCCAGGUUCGAUAGUGCCAAUUAGACACCACCUCGCCAAGAACCAACUUCGAUGAAGCGACGGGCGGUGUGUGCAAGG
rnacentral:rRNA from 1 species